UACGUAGGGGGCAAGCGUUGUCCGGAUUUAUUGGGCGUAAAGAGCGUGUAGGCGGUUUGGUAGGUCCGCUGUGAAAACUCCGAGGCUCAACCUCGAGACGCCGGUGGAAACCAUCAGGCUAGAGUCCGGAAGAGGAGAGUGGAAUUCCUGGUGUAGCGGUGAAAUGCGCAGAUAUCAGGAAGAACACCCGUGGCUAAGGCGGCUCUCUAGUACGGUACUGACGCUGAGACGCGAAAGCGUGGGGAGCGAACAGG
rnacentral:rRNA from 1 species